GUAGGGAAUAUUGGACAAUGGGCGCAAGCCUGAUCCAGCCAUGCCGCGUGAGUGAUGAAGGCCUUAGGGUUGUAAAGCUCUUUCACCGAUGAAGAUAAUGACGGUAGUCGGAGAAGAAGCCCCGGCUAACUUCGUGCCAGCAGCCGCGGUAAUACGAAGGGGGCUAGCGUUGUUCGGAAUUACUGGGCGUAAAGCGCACGUAGGCGGAUAUUUAAGUCAGGGGUGAAAUCCCGCAGCUCAACUGCGGAACUGCCUUUGAUACUGGGUAUCUUGAGUAUGGAAGAGGUAAGUGGAAUUCCGAGUGUAGAGGUGAAAUUCGUAGAUAUUCGGAGGAACACCAGUGGCGAAGGCGGCUUACUGGUCCAUUACUGACGCUGAGGUGCGAAAGCGUGGGGAGCAAA
rnacentral:rRNA from 1 species